rnacentral:ncRNA from 1 species
GUUCCCGAUGGGGAUGGGGUUCCCCCGAAACCGCCCAGAUGGGCUGAUGACUCCUACCGCAAC